UAGAGUGUGUGGGUGGGUCUAUCACUAUGGAGAGUAUAUCUUUAUAGAGUUCGCCUGUGGUGAGAGAUCCCCAGUUUAUAGUCCAAUAAACAGAGGCAAACGCUCCUCCUUCAUAUCCCUGGUAAAGUGGCCCAGUCUCCUCUCAGUCAAAUGGCCAGUGAUGUGGGUGUGUGUGAUAUGGGUGUGUGUGAUAUGGGUGUGUGCGUCCGUCAGUGUGAGUUAGAGUGCAGUAACUGCGUCUCUGUUGCCAAGCUGAACGGAGAGAAGGAGAGAAUGCGCUGGGGACUAAUAGGGAGACUCCCAUCCAGCAGACACAAGAAACAGAGAAGAGGGAGGGGGACAUAAAGAAAGACAAAGAGAGCUGAAUUUCCAAGAUGCAGAGAAGCAUAUUUGACGUCUUUAAAAAAUAACCACCAGCCAGGAGGAUACAGACAGCUCAAGAGUAGGUGCUUUUCAUCUCAACAGCUGCAGAUGACAGAGCAGAUUGAGACAGGAGGUGCUCUCAGCUCCGACGCAACCGGACUGUGACAGUGAGUGGGACCAGCGAAAUGGGGUUUGCGUGUGUGUGCUUGGGUGUGGUACCUGAUGAUGAUCCUGGAGGCAGACAGAAGACUAAGAUGGUGUCGGACUCCAAGUGCCCCAUCUUCAUGGAAACCUUUUACUUUGUCAUCACUGAGGAGCAGCAUCAUAAAAGGCUAUUGUUCACCAUGUGGAACUGUGACCAAAUCUCAAGAGGCUGCUGCGUCCAGAUCACAUCCAACUCCGGGGAAGCCGGCGCCCGCUAGAUUUCACUAGGGCACCUUGGAGUCAGAGAUCCACUCAAAACUACAAAUCAAAUGUUAUUUCUCUCCAAGGUGUACUAUCCCAAUAAUUGAUGUGUCGUGAGUUCUUGUACAACAAGCCUCUGUGAUGGCCAAGCCUGUGUCAUCUAGCUAAAGUUGCAGAUAAAAACAAAAGCUAGCUAGCUAGCCAUUAGCUUAUUUUGACCAAACGAACGGACUUACUAGUCAUAUGACUCCAUUGAAUUGAUAUAUAUAUAAAUAAUCAAUACUA